CUGGCACGGACGGUCACAGUACUGGAGAUAUACGACUGUCUUGAUCUCACGGCCGGCAGCCUGGAGCCCCUCACCAGGUGCCGUAGGCUGCAGCGGCUGUCAGUCACCGCCGCCUACCUCCCGCUACUGAGGGGGCAGCUGCCGGAGGGCCUCAGGUGCCUCAAUGUCAGAGGGCCGGAGGUGACGGAGCCGAGGUGGCCGG